AUUGAACGCUGGCGGCAUGCCUUACACAUGCAAGUCGAACGGUAACGCGGGGCAACCUGGCGACGAGUGGCGAACGGGUGAGUAAUGUAUCGGAACGUGCCCAGUUGUGGGGGAUAACUGCUCGAAAGAGCAGCUAAUACCGCAUACGACCUGAGGGUGAAAGCGGGGGAUCGCAAGACCUCGCGCAAUUGGAGCGGCCGAUAUCAGAUUAGGUAGUUGGUGGGGUAAAGGCUCACCAAGCCAACGAUCUGUAGCUGGUCUGAGAGGACGACCAGCCACACUGGGACUGAGACACGGCCCAGACUCCUACGGGAGGCAGCAGUGGGGAAUUUUGGACAAUGGACGCAAGUCUGAUCCAGCCAUGCCGCGUGCGGGAAGAAGGCCUUCGGGUUGUAAACCGCUUUUGUCAGGGAAGAAACGCUCUGGUUAAUACCUCGGGGUAAUGACGGUACCUGAAGAAUAAGCACCGGCUAACUACGUGCCAGCCGCCGCGGUAAGAC
rnacentral:rRNA from 1 species